rfam:Cavia porcellus supercont2_165 genomic scaffold, whole genome shotgun sequence.
GGUAUUUAGCUCAGUGGUAUAAGCUCCUGCCUUGCAAGCAGGCAGUCCUGAGUUCAAUCCCCAGUACUG